rnacentral:rRNA from 1 species
AUUGAACGCUGGCGGCAGGCCUAACACAUGCAUGUCGAGCGAGCGGCGGACGGGUGAGUAAUGUCUGGGAAACUGCCUGCUGGAGGGGGAUAACUACUGGAAACGGUAGCUAAUACCGCAUACCAUCAGAUGUGCCCAGAUGGGAUUAGCUAGUAGGUGGGGUAACGGCUCACCUAGGCGCCGAUCCCUAGCUGGUCUGAGAGGAUGACCAGCAAAACUGGAACUGCGGCUGGGUCCAGACUCCUCCGGGAGGCAGUAGUGGGGAUUAUUGCACAAUGGGCGCAAGCCUGAUGCCGCCAUGCCGCGUGUGUGAAGAAGGCCUUCGGGUUGUAAAGCACUUUCAGCGGGGAGGCGUUACCCGCAGAAGAAGCACCGGCUAACUCCGGGCCAGCAGCCGCGGUAAUUC